GAUGAACGCUAGCUACAGGCUUAACACAUGCAAGUCGAGGGGCAUCAGGAAGAAAGCUUGCUUUCUUUGCUGGCGACCGGCGCACGGGUGAGUAACACGUAUCCAACCUGCCCUUUACUCGGGGAUAGCCUUUCGAAAGAAAGAUUAAUACCCGAUAGCAUAAUGAUUCCGCAUGGUUUCAUUAUUAAAGGAUUCCGGUAAAGGAUGGGGAUGCGUUCCAUUAGGUUGUUGGUGAGGUAACGGCUCACCAAGCCUUCGAUGGAUAGGGGUUCUGAGAGGAAGGUCCCCAACAUUGGAACUGAGACACGGUCCAAACUCCUACGGGAGGCAGCAGUGAGGAAUAUUGGUCAAUGGGCGUUAGCCUGAACCAGCCAAGUAGCGUGAAGGAUGAAGGCUCUAUGGGUCGUAAACUUCUUUUAUACAAGAAUAAAGUGCAGUAUGUAUACUGUUUUGUAUGUAUUAUAUGAAUAAGGAUCGGCUAACUCCGUGCCAGCAGCCGCCGCGG
rnacentral:rRNA from 1 species